AUACGUAGGGGGCAAGCGUUAAUCGGAAUUACUGGGCGUAAAGCGCGCGCAGGCGGUUUGGUAAGCCCGUGGUGAAAUCCCCGGGCUUCACCUGGGAACUGCCAUUGUGACUGCAAGGCUGGAGUGCGGCAGCGGGGGGUGGAAUUCCGGGUGUAGCAGUGAAAUGCGUAGAUAUGCGGAGGAACACCGAUGGCGAAGGCAAUCCCCUGGGCCUGCACUGACGCUCAUGCACGAAAGCGUGGGGAGCAAACAGGAUUAGAUACCCUGGUAGUCCACGCCCUAAACGAUGUCAACUGGUUGUUGGGGAUUUAUUUUCUCAGUAACGAAGCUAACGCGUGAAGUUGACCGCCUGGGGAGUACGGCCGCAAGGUUAAAACUUAAAGGAAUUGACGGGG
rnacentral:rRNA from 1 species